rnacentral:lncRNA from 1 species
UAAAGAUGAAAGGCACAUGGACUUUGGGUCCAUGUGCAUAUAAGUGGGCAUGUUACCUAGCUAAAAGUAUUUGCAGAUAUUUCAAAGCUAGGGUGUAAAGAUGUCACACACCUGUUGAGAAGCCCUGCUGGUCAGAGAUUGCAGCAGUCUACCCAAUCUCAGAGCUCAAGGCAAUAUAAAGGCCCACCCCCUUCCCCAGCUUGCAAGGGCUUCCUGCUCUCUACUUGACCUUCCUUGGAGACUGUCCCUGAGAUGGGAUGCCUGACCCAUCUCAGAGCAAUUUUUGGCACAGCCCCUUGCAAGUGCCCUCCUCCUGCUGUCACAUAUGGUAAUGAGGUGUGGUGCUCUAGCUAGAUAGGGCUGUGCUGCCAUACAGGGUAACCAGACAUUGUGCUCCAGCCUUGUGGUAGGAGCCUGCUGCCAAAUGCAAAUAGGGUGUUGCCCCAGCCACUGCCCCAUCCUCCUUCAUAUGUCCCCUGAUAUGUCCCCUCUGGAAUAAAGUUGAGCUGUCUCACUGAAGCAGUCUCCUGGAAGGCUAUUUUUGUCGGGCUCACAGGCUAGACAAACCCACUCUUGUUGCUUCUGCCCCCUGUGUCCUAAUGGCCCACUGGCCAGUGGACUGUGGGGAAAAAGAGGGACCACUCCCACACCCAUGAUGAUUUUAAACCUGAACAAAGAAAAGGAUGGAAGACCUUAUUUAAAAUUAUUUAUAUUUGCUGUUUUCAAAUUGUACACGUUUUACGCCUCUCUGUGGGAUUAAUUCCCUUACAAAAGGACCCUAAAGGAGCUUGCAACUUCUUUCACAGUGUGUGACACCUUCCCUGAAGCAGAGCACAACCCAACAUCAGAAAUGGACAUACACAGAACCUUCUGGAAGGAGUCACAACGCUUUUAGCUAACAUCACUGACCAUGGCAAAACAGGAGGCAGAAAGAUCUACCCAGCUGCUUUGUCUUCCAUGCCCCCUCAUGCACAUCUUCAGCUCUCACCCUUUCUCCUUCUGGAGCCAAUCAGGAGAGCAUCUGCAUUUGAAACUCUUAUUUGAAAAGGAAAUUUCUCCCAGCUGUCAUGUUCCAGAGACAGCUCGGCAGUCGCUCUAAGAUCAACAGAUGAAUUGUCCACA